AUAAAUAAUGUCUGUUCUAUCUGUGUGCUGAGCAGCGCCUGCUGUAACGCCAUUUAUUUUAUCACAAGGUUAACUGAAAGCAGAAAGUAUAAUAUAACCAUGGCUUCCUGCUUUAGAUUCCUGCACACUGUGUAUAAAGCCAGACCGUGCCCCAUGCUGUGACUGUGUGUCCUUCUCACAAUCACCAUUGAGUCAUCAUUGUCACUAACUCUCCCCAGGGAAUUAUCCAGAAAUCUUCAGCUUUCGCAAUGACCUAUUAUACCCUUCCAAUCCAUGAAUGGUUAGUAAUAUAUUACAGCUGAUUAUAAAAUGAUUUUCUGUUAAUCAACUACCUCCAGCAAGGCCCCCCUCCCUGGCAAAAGGUAAG